AACGUUCACCUAAUGUAUGUAACGAGGUGUAACGAUCCUCCUGGUUGUUUAAAUCUUUUCACCUUUCCUAGUUUAGCUCUUUCCGUAGUUGGUGUACGUGAAUUAUGACUCGUAUGAUGAGUAGUAUCAAUUUUUGAAGUGUACGGAGGUGAUUAAGUCAUUAGUUGGGUUAUUGAGUUAAAGGAAGUUAAAUUCAAUCGC
rnacentral:lncRNA from 1 species